rnacentral:rRNA from 1 species
UCCUGCCGGAGGCCAUUGCUAUCGGAGUUCGAUUUAGCCAUGCUAGUCGCACGGGUUUAGACCCGUGGCAGAUAGCUCAGUGACACGUGGCCAAACUACCCUAUGGACAGGAAUAACCUCGGGAAACUGAGGCCAAUUCCUGAUACCGCUUCCCUCCUGGAAUGGGAGAAGCACCAAACGUUACGGCGCCAUAGGAUGUGGCUGCGGCCGAUUAGGUAGACGGUGAGGUAACGGCUCACCGUGCCCAUAAUCGGUACGGGUUGUGAGAGCAAGAGCCCGGAGACGGUAUCUGAGACAAGAUACCGGGCCCUACGGGGCGCAGCAGGCGCGAAAACUUUACACUGCACGACAGUGCGAUAAGGGAACUCCGAGUGCGAGGGCAUAUCGUCCUCGCUUUUCUGUACCGUAGGGAGGUACAAGAAUAAGGGCUGGGCAAGACCGGUGCCAGCCGCCGCGGUAACACCGGCAGCCCAAGUGAUGGCCGAUAUUAUUGGGCCUAAAGCGUCCGUAGCCAGCUGAACAGGUCCGUUGGGAAAUCUGCUCGCUCAACGAGCAGGCGUCCGGCGGAAACCAGUCAGCUUGGGACCGAGAGGACCGAAGGGUACGUCUGGGGUAGGAGUGAAAUCCCGUAAUCCUGGACGGACCACCGAUGGCGAAAGCACUUCGGUAGAUCGGAUCCGAUGGUGAGGGACGAAAGCUAGGGUCACGAACCGGAUUAGAUACCCGGGUAGUCCUAGCCGUAAACGAUGCUCGUUAGGUGUGGCGCAAACUACGAGUUUGUGCCGUGCCGCAGCGAAGGCGAUAAACGAGCCGCCUGGGAAGUACGUCCGCAAGGAUGAAACUUAAAGGAAUUGGCGGGGGAGCACUACAACCGGAGGAGCCUGCGGUUUAAUUGGACUCAACGCCGGACAUCUCACCAGCUCCGACAGUGUGCAGUGACGGUCAGUGUGAUGAGCUUACCUGAGCCACUGAGAGGAGGUGCAUGGCCGCCGUCAGCUCGUACCGUGAGGCGUCCUGUUAAGUCAGGCAACGAGCGAGACCCGCACUCCUAAUUGCCAGCACCGGCUUCGGCCGGGUGGGUACAUUAGGAGGACUGCCGUGGCCAACACGGAGGAAGGAACGGGCAACGGUAGGUCAGUAUGCCCCGAAUGUGCUGGGCUACACGCGGGCUACAAUGGCCAAGACAAUGGGUUCCAACCUCGAAAGAGGACGGUAAUCUCCUAAACUUGGUCGUAGUUCGGAUUGAGGGCUGAAACCCGCCCUCAUGAAGCUGGAUUCGGUAGUAAUCGCGUGUCAGCAGCGCGCGGUGAAUACGUCCCUGCUCCUUGUACACACCGCCCGUCA